UAAGUGUUAGGGGGUUUCCGCCCCUUAGUGCUGCAGCUAACGCAUUAAGCACUCCGCCUGGGGAGUACGGUCGCAAGACUGAAACUCAAAGGAAUUGACGGGGGCCCGCACAAGCGGUGGAGCAUGUGGUUUAAUUCGAAGCAACGCGAAGAACCUUACCAGGUCUUGACAUCCUCUGACAAUCCUAGAGAUAGGACGUCCCCUUCGGGGGCAGAGUGACAGGUGGUGCAUGGUUGUCGUCAGCUCGUGUCGUGAGAUGUUGGGUUAAGUCCCGCAACGAGCGCAACCCUUGAUCUUAGUUGCCAGCAUUCAGUUGGGCACUCUAAGGUGACUGCCGGUGACAAACCGGAGGAAGGUGGGGAUGACGUCAAAUCAUCAUGCCCCUUAUGACCUGGGCUACACACGUGCUACAAUGGGCAGAACAAAGGGCAGCGAAACCGCGAGGUUAAGCCAAUCCCACAAAUCUGUUCUCAGUUCGGAUCGCAGUCUGCAACUCGACUGCGUGAAGCUGGAAUCGCUAGUAAUCGC
rnacentral:rRNA from 1 species